rnacentral:tRNA from 1 species
GAGGGUGUAGCUCAAGUGGUAGAGCACAUGCUUAGCAUGCACCAGGUCCUGGGUUCAAUCCUCAGUACCUCCU